GAUGAACGCUAGCGGCAGGCCUAAUACAUGCAAGUCGAACGGUGUCUUCGGACAUAGUGGCGCACGGGUGCGUAACACGUAUGCAACCUACCUUACAUUGGGGGAUAGCCUUUCGAAAGGGAGAUUAAUACCGCAUAAGACAGUAGCUGGGCAUCCAGCAGCUGUUAAAGAUUUAUCGAUGUAAGCUGGGCAUGCGUCCAAUUAGCUAGUUGGUGAGGUAACGGCUCACCAAGGCAAUGAUUGGUAGGGGAACUGAGAGGUCAAUCCCCCACACUGGCACUGAGAUACGGGCCGGACUCCUAUGGGAGGCAGCAGUAGGGAAUAUUGGGCAAUGGACGCAAGUCUGACCCAGCCAUGCCGCGUGCAGGAUGAAGGCGUUAUGCGUUGUAAACUGCUUUUAUACAGGAAGAAACGACUCUUGCGAGAGGCAUUGACGGUACUGUAUGAAUAAGCACCGACUAACUCCGUGCCAGCCGCCGCAGUAACAC
rnacentral:rRNA from 1 species